rnacentral:lncRNA from 1 species
UUUAUUAAAAAGAAAACAAAUUGCACCAAAGUAUUUUAGCUCAAGAUUAAAUGAAUGAAUAAUCUAAUCAAAAUCUCAAAUUAUUAAUUUGGAAUUUUCUCUUUUUUCAAAUAAAAAGAAUGUAUGGAGAUGGCCAUAAAUGAUGUGCGAUUUGGGUGGGUCAAGAAGUCUUAUUUUGAGCCAAUGUUUGGUUUAGCCUACGCAAAAUGAAGAGCACAUUUGCUGCAGUCCAGCCGAGCUAUUGACAUAGAGUAAUUUAAAGUGCAAUCCACCUGUCAUCGGAAUCCUCAAUUUGAAAUUCAAACCUUACCCUUCCUUCCUUCCUUCUACCCAUAAUUAAGGGAGCUAAUGCACCUUCAUUUCAAAAGGUUUGUUCUUUGCCUCGACAUCCUUGUUUUGGGAAAUUAAACUUUUCUCCCAAAAAGUACAAAGAUAUAAUAGAAGAGAAAGAUUAUCAAUCAUCUAGCUUCUAAUUUCAAGUAUUUGUGAUCAAAUUUAAUUUCUACAGUUUUAAUUUAUAUAUAUAAAAAAAAAACCGACUCUAAACUUUUUUGGAAAUUGUUUUCUUUAAUGAUGGGGAAUUCUCUUGAUAAGAUUGGAAUUUAUGACAAAAUGGUGUUUUGGCUGGAAUUAUAAUCCAAAUUUAUCAUCUUUAAAUUAAGCUUUUGUUAUUUGGCAAUUCAC